rnacentral:lncRNA from 1 species
UGGAUUUUUAGGUCUGGAUCAGUCUGAACCCUCAUCUCCAUGAGUCAAAAGUAGUAGUGCGCUACGGAGUGUAUAGGGUAUCAUUUGGGAUAUACAACCAGUAUAUUUGAAGAUUGUGAUUGAUUGUAUCUGAUGGUGUCCGAUGCAGAAAUAUCCUUCCAAUCUUCUUUGUUACCUUUUUAUUUGAGCGGAAAGACAGAUAGAGAGAGAGAGAAAGGUAGAGAGACAGGGCCAGAGAGAGUGAGAGAGAGAAAGGUAAACAGAGAGAUAGAUAGAGAGAGAGAGGUAGAGAGAGAGAAAGAUAGAGAGACAGGGCCAGAGACAGUGAGAGAGAGAGAAAGGUAGAUAGAGAGAGAGGGGUAAAGGUAGAGAGACCGGGCCAGAGACAGAGAGAGAGAGAGAGAAAGGUGGAUAGAUAGAGAGUUAAAGGUAGAGAGACAGGGCCAGAGACAGAGAGAGAGAGAGAGAGAGAAAGGUAGAUAGAGAGAGGUAAAGGUAGAGAGACAGGGCCAGAGACAGUGAGAGAGAGAGAGAGAAAGGUAGAUAGAGAGAGAGAGUAAAAGGUAGAUAGAGAGAGAGAGUAAAAGGUAGAGAGACAGGGCCAGAGACAGUGAGAGAGAGAGAGAGAGAGAGAGAGAAAGGUAGAUAGAGAGAGAGAGGGGUAAAGGUUGAGAGACAGGGCCAGAGACAGUGAGAGAGAGAGAGAGAGAGAGAAAGGUAGAUAGAGAGAAGUGUUGUGUCUAAGGAAGGUUUAGAGUCGACUAAAUACAUUCUGGGCUACACAAAAGAAGCUCCGUACAAUGUGUAUCAUAUUUGACGGAGGGGUUGUCAAAGCACCAUUUUCAUUUUUGUUCCACUUACUUACAGAAAUACUUUUCUCGAUACCAAACAUUCACACAAUUGAAGUUUGAGUUAUUUAUUAUUUAGCUAUGUUUUCGUGUUUUUUUUUUUGCAUCAGGAUGUACUGUAUUAUAGAAUCACAAGAUCAUAUUCAGGAAAUAUUAGGUGUACUGUUGCUUUUAUGUAAGAUAAUUGAAACCAAAAUGAAUCCAAGACUUCUUCGGGCAUCUUCUCUUUCAUGCAUCACCUUUUGUCAUAGCAACUAUUGGUUACCAUCCUCUUAAGUCGAUAGCAUGUACAGUAUUGGCCCUUUUUAAAAGAUACCUUGACUCAAUAAUGGGUGUGUAUAGCAUCCUCACAGUAGCAUAGAUAAACACAGACAGACAUUUACACUAAUCCUGGUUGAAGAAUAAGACCAU